rnacentral:misc_RNA from 1 species
AAGUCUACUCAACUACAACUUUCUGAUGCGAAGAUCAAGCUUGCGGACAAACAAGCUGCCCUGGAGAAGAUACAGUGGGAAGCAAUGACAUCCAAUAGGAAAGCGCGGAGAAGCUCCAGGAAGACCUAGAUUCUCUCCAGGGAGGCAUUUCAUCAUUCACAAUGUUAUUUGAAGGCUUGGCUAAUAAUGAUUCCACAGUAUAUGCUGAAGAUUAU